GAUCACCCUCGUUGACCAAAACGACAAUCCCAUCUACAUGCCAAUCCCCAACCCAAACCCCACACCAUCACCCUUCAACAUCACCCUCUUCGACAACCACCUCCCCUACGACACCCACAACACCUACUCCAUCACCAUCGACACCACCCUCACAAUCCAAACCCUCCUCACCUGUUCCCCCAUCCACGUCGAAUCUUGGCUCCUCGAAACCCAAUCCCUCUCCCCCGCAAUCAUCGGCCUUGACAUCGAAUGGCGUCCAAACUCCCA
rnacentral:lncRNA from 1 species